CACAAAGAAGAGGGUGAAUAAUGUGGCCCGUGGAACAAAAGCCUUUAGAAAAGACAAAGAGAUACAUACCAUGGGUCUCCCGCUGGUUUUGGAGAAAGUGAUGCAAAGUGCAUAUGACCGGUUCCAGUGCUCCCACCACACAACUGUGAGCAUUAGCGGUUUGCUAGAGAUUACUCUGCGGGACGCCCAGGCACGACCAGUCCCGUUGUCACCCUCACACUGGCAGCAACUGGCUUCCACCUACGAGGAUGGGGAAGACGAGGAAGCGUACAGGCAGCUGGCCAGAGAGCAGCCGUACCAGCCACACCGCAGCAGCGAUACAGCGGUACAGCAGACGUGUCGGGCUAGGAGUAAGGAAGUUUUGUUUGGAUUUUCUCCUCCUGUGUCCCUCUCUGAACGUGGGUGACAAGACCUGUAUGUGCAAGCACUCUACAUAAUGUCUAGAUGCAACUAAAACUAAAACCACAUCUACUGUGCUUCUGGAGGACAGAAAGGGCCUGGAGGACACAAGGGGGGACUGUGUUAACACUUGGAGAUACUUAGCGUGGGAGAAAUUGGUCUGAGGAAGCUGCAGUCUGAACAGCAAGAGGGAGAGACAGACAGGCAGACAGAGCUGACAGAACUGCUUUACAAAGGUUUUUCUCUUAAAAGGUGAUGGUGUUUCAUGCUGUGGUGAAGUUGUGUGUCUCCUGGCAAACAAGAAGAGAUCUAAGUAAACCAGCCAGACAAAUCUUGGGGAUGAGUGAGCUCCGGGGAACGAAUAAGAACCCAUUUUGUGCAGUCAAGUGGUAAGAGAUGGAUGAAGAUGAAGAAUGAGCAGAAGCAUAAUUCAGCAGCAUACCUGAUGGCAUAAUGACAUUGAUGUUUCUUGGCUCAUAUAUCACCCCAGGUGCAGAUAUAUGUCAUCUCAUUUCUGUCCAGCACAAUGGAGAGUCCGUGAGGGAUAUUAUGACUUUUUAAGUCACUGUCUCUCAGCCAGGUUGCUUUGGGGCCAAUGCAAUUACAUGCUCUUCCGCCUGUGGGCUUGAUAGCAAACUGACACUCCCGCCCUCAGCUAGAGGAGCGAUCAGUUGAGGAUGACAGUGUUGCAGAAACAGUUAAGUUAGUCCUGUGUCUUGUCUGUCCCGCGGUGCUGUAUCAGCUUCACGUCUGCUGGAGUGCAGCCUGUGAGCCCCUGUGGCUAAUGCUACCUUUCUCAAAUUGCUGGGAUGCAGGCGUCAAAUACCUAGUACCUCCUACAAGGCGUAAAUGUAGAUUUUCCCUCGGUAUCACAAAUAUGCAGAUCUAGUCUGCUCUUUCCAAACGCGGCAGACGAAAAUCUUGUCUAGAUACUGAACAUCAAGCUGUUGGCAAGUAAGAAGGGCAGGCUGAAUUUCAGAUACUGUUAGAAGACCUUAAAUGUUCCCUAGGGGUCUGACCUUGCGUUCCUUACCCCUGUAAAUCUUUUUUUUUUUUUUUUCUCCUAAUGGACCCAUGUGGAACUAUGCCUAGGGACAAUGCACAUGGCUAAGAGUUGCAGGACCAAGACUAUAUUUUUUGUGACACAAAGUAAUGUUGCCAGUAGGCCACAUCAACACGUAUAAGAAAUGGAAAAUCCUGAUGUAUAUUGAGCAUUGAAUUUUCACAGUAAAUCAACAAAUCUAAGUAAAGUCAGAUCUCAAUUACCCGCACAAGAUGCAGUCUUGUUGAUGUUAUUCAGAACAUGCAUUUUAUUGCCUUGCAAACAUCUGAAAGGAAUUCAGUUUUCAACAACUUUAGGCUUCGGUAUGGCAUAAUGGCUUAGUUUUGUAACAACAGGCUGAAAUAUUGACUGUCACGGAAUUGACUGUCAAACUGAACUUUGUGGGUUUUGUUUUGUUUACAGAUUAAAACUGUCUUCUCAUUUUCAGCUCUGCAUACAAUACCUGCGCACUGAGAAGCACAGUCUGAAAACUGUCUGUGUACUGCAACACGAAAAAGACUGCUCCUAUAUACUGUGAUUAAAUGUAGGACUACAAAGCCACAGGUGCAAGCCACAUGGGACAGCGUGGCUUCUCUGCAAUAUAAGGCAUUUCUUCUACCUUUGAUAUCUGGACAUGAAAAGAAAGUGGCACUGAAGUAUAAUUUUAAAACAAUCUAAAUGUGUUACCACAGACAACAGCAUUGUUUGAAUAUGUAAUUAAUUUUGCUGCAAAACUCUAAUAUUAAUAAAUAGACCCUUUUAAAUGUCUCAGGAAUGCAGUCGCAUGAGCAGCUCUUGGAAACAAGGUACAAGUGCUAUUCUUCCAUUGCAACUCCUGGAACAUCGGUUGUGAUGUAAUACAUGAGUCUCAAAAAGUAAAUACAAAGCUGAUGUUGCGUCACGUAGUUGAGCUUUUAUUUAUAGAAAUAAUUAGAAAGCUAAUGAUAAAAAUACUCAUACGUAUAUGAAAGGUCACUGACAGAAAUGGAAGUUUCACUUGUUUUGAGGAACAAUCACCGAAUAAAAUUUCAUUCUUCCUGCCUGACAUGAGACUUAA